GGAUGCAAUCAUACCCUCUAAAGCACCGGAUCCAAUCAGAACUUCGAAGUUAAGCAUGCGUGGGCGAGAGUUGUACUAGGAUGGGUUACCUCCUGGGAAGUCCUCGUGUUGCAUUCC
rnacentral:rRNA from 2 species